CAGGUAGGACUACCCGCUGAACUUAAGCAUAUCAAUAAGCGGAGGAAAAGAAACUAACAAGGAUUCCCCUAGUAACUGCGAGUGAAGCGGGAAAAGCUCAAAUUUAAAAUCUGACGGUCUCGCGGCCGUCCGAGUUGUAAUCUGGAGAAGCGUUUAUCCGCGUCGGAGCGUGUACAAGUCUUCUGGAAGGGAGCGUCAUAGAGGGUGAGAAUCCCGUCUUUGACACGGACAACCGAUGCUUUUGUGAUGCGCUCUC
rnacentral:rRNA from 1 species